UUCUGUUUUUUUCCAGGCAAGAUAAUCUUCUGCAUCUUAUCUUUCAUGAGAUGGAGAGUUUAGUGGGUUUCGGCUUUUCUUCUUCUUGCUUGCAAUUAAAAAUUGACCCUUUUAUAACUCUAUCAACAAUGUUUUUCAUUGUUGUAAGGUCACAGGUCUGAUCCCAAUAUAAAAACUUCAGGUUUGUAUUUCUUUCUUUUCGUAUCGGUAUUAUCUGAGAUCUGAACUUACAAUGGUUUAUUGCUCGGCAUAUCUCGCUAUAUGUUAUAAAAGCUUUGUUUUGGUUUACUGAAUUAAGCGCCCAUGGAGAGAAAGGAGGAUAGUUGCUAAUUUUGUCAUCUAUCCUUUUUCUAUGUUCAUUUAAUAAAGGAAAGGAGCUUCCUUCAUUUACAUUAUAAGGUGUUUUCCCUAAUUUUUUGUAUUUCUUAAAAAAGUUGAAAUGUGAAUUGAGGCUUUGUAUGGCCCAGGAAUUAAAGUAAGGAUCAUAACAAUGUUAAAACUUAAAUACAGUUAAUUUGUUUAAUUAAAUUAUUAUUAUUUUUUGAAGGAUGGGCUUUAUCAAGGUAGACAGUUUAUCUAAAAUCUCUGUGGAAGUGUGGAAUUAUUAUUUUAUUUUUUUGAAGAAAUGGACAGUUAAUUUGUUGUUUGUACAAGUUUAAAUGCGCUGCAAAAUUUACUAUAAUGCAUGCGAGUUCUAAAAAAAUCAAUAUGAUUUUUUGCAGGAUGGAAGAUUAGGGAAAAGAAGGUGUGGACAGAGGAUGAUGCAGACUAGACAUUAUUCCAUCCUCGGCAAAAGAAGUCGUUUUAUCAAAGCAAGAGGAUAGAUCUGAUGAACGGCUGAUCCCGAAUCUUCACUUGCUGGAAGUAAGGGUAUUGUAGGCUUUAGGUGUGUAGUUUAGUCGCACAUAGCUUAGAUAUAAAGUCUAUGUGGUUUCUCUCUACAUAAAUAAAGAGUUAGCUUCUUUGUAAGUUUAACCUCAAUACCCUUACUUCCAACAUCACUGUACAAAGCGAAGUUUCAGCUCAUAGAAUUUGGGUACUUCAGAAUCAUCAGACUGGAUAUUUAAAUGCCUGAUAUUGUCAGACUAAAGAAGUAGUAACCCCAGAAGAUGAGAUUAGGUUUGAUGUGGUGUUUAUG
rnacentral:lncRNA from 1 species